CGGGCUGUGGCGCAGCUUGGUAGCGCGCUUGACUGGGGGUCAAGAGGUCGGGAGUUCAAGUCUCCCCAGCCCGACCA
rnacentral:tRNA from 1 species